AUCCUCCAAGGCUAAAUACUCCUGAUUGACCGAUAGUGAACCAGUACCGUGAGGGAAAGGCGAAAAGAACCCCGGCGAGGGGAGUGAAAAAGAACCUGAAACCGUGUACGUACAAGCAGUAGGAGCCCCAUCACUCAAGUGCCUCGCACUGAGUGAUGCAAUAACAUCACCGAAAAUAGCGCCGAAUUUGCUAACAAGGUUGGUCGAUUUUUUCAAGCCGUCGCGCAGUGUACCUAGAAGUACACGAGCAACGGAAGUUAAAAAAUCGGGCAAGAUUGAACGCAAAGGCAAGCGGGACAUUUGAGGAUGGGGUGACUGCGUACCUUUUGUAUAAUGGGUCAGCGACUUAUAUUCUGUAGCAAGGUUAACCGUAUAGGGGAGCCGUAGGGAAACCGAGUCUUAACUGGGCGAAUGAGUUGCAGGGUAUAGACCC
rnacentral:rRNA from 1 species